rnacentral:rRNA from 1 species
UACAGAGGGUGCAAGCGUUAAUCGGAUUUACUGGGCGUAAAGGGCGCGUAGGUGGUUAUGUAAGUAAGAUGUGAAAGCCCCGGGCUCAACCUGGGAACUGCGUCUUAAACUGCAUAGCUGGAGUACAAUAGAGGGUAGUGGAAUUUCCGGUGUAGCGGUGAAAUGCGUAGAUAUCGGAAGGAACACCAGUGGCGAAGGCGGCUACCUGGAUUGAUACUGACACUGAGGCGCGAAAGCGUGGGGAGCAAACAGG